GGGGAUUUAGCUCAGUGGUAGAGCACUUGCCUAGUAAGCAUGAGGUCCUCAGUUUGGUCCUCA
rnacentral:tRNA from 1 species